rfam:Dipodomys ordii contig_16688, whole genome shotgun sequence.
GGUGGCUCAGUGGUAGAGCGCUUGCCUUGCAUGCCAGAAGCCCUGGGUUCAAUUCCUCAGCACCA